CGUUGGGCGCUAGGUGUGGGGACCUUCCAAGGUUUCCGUGCCGCAGCUAACGCAUUAAGCGCCCCGCCUGGGGAGUACGGCCGCAAGGCUAAAACUCAAAGGAAUUGACGGGGGCCCGCACAAGCGGCGGAGCAUGCUGAUUAAUUCGAUGCAACGCGAAGAACCUUACCUGGGUUUGACAUAUGGGGAAAACUCACAGAGAUGUGAGGUCCUUUUGGGCUCCAUACAGGUGGUGCAUGGCUGUCGUCAG
rnacentral:rRNA from 1 species